rnacentral:rRNA from 1 species
GAAUCGCUAGUAAUCGUGGAUCAGAAUGCCGCGGUGAAUACGUUCCCGGGCCUUGUACACACCGCCCGUCACACCAUGGGAGUGGACUGCACCAGAAGUGGUUAGCCUAACGCAAGAGGGCGAUCACCACGGUGUGGUUCAUGACUGGGGUGAAGUCGUAACAAGGUAGCCGUAGGGGAACCUGCGGCUGGAUCACCUCCUU